GUAAUUCCUGUCUAUUAAUUGUAGGCCAAUGAAAGGAUUGACGGGCUAAAAUUGUCUCUUUUAUGAAAGAAGAAUUUAACUUUGCAGUGAAGAGGCCUGCAAUGCAUUAAAAGGACGAGAAGACCCUGUCAAACUUUAGUAUAGGGUGAAAUCUGUAGUUAUUUACUUAAUUUUGUUUAAUAUUUUAGUUGGGGCAACUUAGAAGGAUAAAUACUUUUAUGACACGAUAUUGUAAUUUAUAGGUGAUUUUAUCCGAAAUAAUUGUGACACACAAGUAAUUUAGAUUUUUGAAUAUAGAAUAAGUUACUGG
rnacentral:rRNA from 1 species